rnacentral:lncRNA from 1 species
GGAGGAGAGUCUUUAAUCUUGUUUCGCUAUUGGUGUAUACUGUUCGGGAAAAUUCUCCUGCAAUUCUUGGCCAAUUAAUCCCCCACAAAAACAUGAGAAUGCCUUCUGCUGGCGCCUUUGUACACAGUCAAAGGAAUGAUAUUCACGCUUAAAGAUAGUUGAGAUCAGACACAAAGGGUUAAUCCCAAUGAGCAGACAGCGCGAUUUCUGAUUGAACAAAGAACACUUUAUUGAGUGCUGCCUGGGUGCGGGGAGAAGAGCGGGAUGACCCAGAUGGGAGGCAAGAUCCUCCUGGAGGUCCUGAGGCUCCGGGCCCCCUUCGGUGGGCGGGGCCGUCGGGCACCCACGGCCAGACUCAGCUGCAGUAGGGGUUCUGCUCCAACAGGGACCUCACAGCCCAUCAUGGCCUCAUAUGCUCUCAGGGUGGAAGCUCGGCUUGAACUUUCUGGAGAGGGCCCAGUGCCUCUUGUUGGCAGCGGCUUCCCAGUGUGCCUGGCCCAGAUGGCCCUGUCCUCUGCCUGGGCCUUCUCUGGUCCCUGCACCCAGUGCCCAGCCCUCUCCAGAGCCCAUGGCUGUUACUCCUGGGGAGCUCCCUCAGAGUGACAUCUGCCAACUGCCCUGCUGUGGUCAAGUCCUGGGCCCCACCUCCUUCCCCUGAAGCCUGACCAUAGUCCCCGCCCCUGAGGUCCCGGGCUGGGCAUACCUGACCUGCCUUUUUUCCCUAUUAUUCCCCAAGGGUGUCCCAGAUCUGUGGAGCCUCUCCCUGGGGCCUGAAGCGGCCGUCAGGAGCAGCUGAGUGCCCAGUGGGUCAGGAAUCACCAGGACCCGAUUCCUUGGGGGUGGAGCUCCAAGAGGGGCUAGGGCUCCUCUUCUGCCCAAUACCCCCAGGCUGGGUCCUUGCGUGCUCCACUUCUUUGGUGAGUUUGGUCAAGACUGGCUGGUUCCCCUGUGGUCAUCUCAGCUUCUCAGCUGGGCAAGGGCCCCGCAAGGAAUGAUUCUACAUCCCUCACUCAAGCAGGCUCAAGAAUGUUGAAACUUUCCAUAUCUAGGUGACUUUUGGGCCUUAGUUCCCUCAUCUGUAAAAUGGACACAGUUCUUCUGCAGCAGGGCUGUCAUGAAGAUGAAUGAGAUCAUGUGAAUGCUAAGACCCAGAUAUAGCAGGUUUUGAAUGAUUGCCCAUUCCCUUUCUACCUUCCUCUGACUUUGGACUUUAGAACAACUGCUGGUGUGUCCUGGGGCGCGUGUGCCUGUUUUACGGGUGAGAAGACUAAGGUCCAGAGAAAUGAAUGCAGGGGCCAACGUUAUUCUGGGAGUGGGCGUCAGGGUGUGUGAAAAUCUAGGAGCGAUGCAGCAGCUCUCUGUCCACCUGGAAGGCUUGUGCUUUGCUUGCAAGAGAGCCGAGGUUUGGGUUCUUUUAGGAAGGGAUGCAGGAGAGACGGGCUGCACAGGUCUGUUGGAAAGGCCAGGAAUAUAAUAAAUAGGUAAUGCAGUAAGACUGAUGCAGACAAUGGGGCCGGCUGCUGGCUGGGCUGAGAUUGUCUUGCCCAUUUGAGAAUGAGAAAAUUGAUGUUCAAACAGGCUCUAUGCAGAAACCUGACCCUGGCGCAGCUCCAGAACAUGCUUUGUUGAUGACGACCCCACUCUCCAGGCCUGGCAAAGUCACCGCUCAGUGCAGAACAGGUGGCAGGAUCCCGCCUGUCAACCAGAACCUCCCCUUUUGCUUUUCACUUGUCUUUUUUGCUGCAAAGUCUUUCAUACACCUGCUCAAGUGCAGGUCUACAGUCACAUAGGGCCUCUUGUUUCUGUGUCUAAAAGAAGCG